AGUCUCCUCACGAAUUUCGCCAGCAGCGGCUGGGUUCCAAAGGCCCAACAGCGGACGGUUGGCAACGCGCGUGUUUGCGCGCCACAAAGCAAACAUAUCACAAAAAGAAAAAUAAAGAAAAAAGAAAUAAAAAAUAGAAAGAAAUAGGCGAAUAAAAUAUCACAAAGAGACUUUGGCCACAUUUCAUUUGGAAAAUGAGAACGAAAAAUGUAAUUGAGUUUUCGCAUUCAAUCAAAUAAUAAUCAAACAAAGAGGAAAACGAAAACAAAAUUGAAAAAAAGGAGACUCACGUGCGAUUGGUCGAGUGCGCACAAUCGAAUUAUUUAUAAAGCCAAUUAAAUCAUUAAUUAAUUAAUCCGAACGAAAGCGAAAUCAUGUUUGGCUGCAUUUACCAGCUCUGGGAUUGGUUGGAGGCGCCACCGCUCUUCACAGGCGGCACCAUGGACCCAAAGAAGCUGCAGCAGUUGCAGCUGCAGGCGGCAACGGCCCAGCAACAGAAGAAGCUGCCGCUGGCCUAUCAAACCAAUCUGAUUGACUAUCGCACAGCGACACAUUCGCCCGCCGGCUACCACCUGGCACCGCAAUCGAUCUACCAGCAGUCCCCCACGGCCACCUCGUCCAGCGGCGGCGGUCCACUGUCGCCCAUCGACAUGCAGCCGCAGGCCAAGCACGGCCUGCUCAAGCAUCAUGGCUAUGGCGGCAACUCCAGCAGCUCGCACAGCUCUCCCUAUCACCAGUCGUACACGAGCAGCGCCGGCACCGGGGACCAGCUCUAUCAGUCGCCCACGGAGCGCACGUAUCUGGCCGCCGCCGGGCGGCUGCAGGCGAGCAAUGCGACGGCGGGCCAUCAUCCCAUCUCGGCGCUGCAGGCGCAGUACCAGCAGCUGCAGCAGGCCAAGAUGCAGGCGCAGCUGGCCACGCAGAGCGAGGCGGCUCAGCAGCAGCAGCGCACGUUUGCCAUGCGCCAGGCCAUGAAUCCGCCCACGGGCCACUACCACAUGAGUCAAUCCUCUAGCAUGGUGUCCAACAUGACACUGCAACAGCAGCAGCAGCAGCAGCAGCAGCAGCAGCAGCAGCAACAACAACAACAGCAGCAGCAACAGCAGCAACAACAACAACAGCAGCAGCAGCGGGCUCCACCGUCUACACUUAAUUUGGCUAAUCAAUAUCAAGCUGCCUCGGGUCCGUUGAAGCUGCAGCAGCAAAUGCCAAAACAUUAUCAGGAGCAGCUCUAUGCCCAGCAGCAGCAGCAGCAGCAGCAGCAAUUGCAAUUGCAGUUGCAUCAACAGCAACAGCUGCAACAACAACUGCAGCAACAGCAACAGCAGCAGCAACAACAACGGCAAAAGCAGGAGCAGCAAACGCCUGGCAGCGAGCAUGGACCCGUUUACAUCCAACAGAAUCAUCCCGGUCAUGUGGUCAAUCAGGCCUGUCAGACGCAAAUCUCAACUGUGGUCAAGCCCAAGCCCACGCCCAGCUCAGAGGAGUCCUCGUCGGCCUCCACGCGCAGUCCCACCCAUGCGCCGCUGGAUCGCAAGAAGAGUAUCGGCUCCAUACAGGCGCUCAAAUCUCCGAUCACCAAGCGUCCACCCACCACGCCCGUCACCCUCUCCGGCUGGCUGCACAAGCAGGGCUCCGACGGGCUGAAGGUGUGGCGCAAGCGCUGGUUCGUGCUGGCCGAGUACUGCCUCUACUACUACAAGGGCCCGGAGGAGGAGAAGCUGCUGGGCUCGGUGCUGCUGCCCUCGUACCGCGUCUCCGCCUGCCUGCCGGAGGACAAGAUCUAUCGCAAGUUCGCCUUCAAGUGUGAGCACCAGAACAUGCGCACCUAUUGGCUGGCCGCGGACAGCGCCGACGCCAUGAUGCAGUGGGUGCGCGCCUUGUCGGCGGCCAGCCUCAUGCAGGCGCCGAGCAGUGGCGAGUCGGAGCCCAGCGUCAGCUCCUCGCUGAAUCACAGCGGGGAGAACUCGGACUCGGGCAUCCACACGCUGCAGUCGCAGCCGGGCAAGGGUCAGCUGACGCCCGCCUCGGACAAUGCGGGCAACGGCAAUGGGGCUCAGCCCCUGUAUGCCAAUGCACCGCCCAAGCCGCGCCGCAUCAACGACGGCGGAUACUCCUCGCCGUCGCCCGAGCACAAUGAGCAGCAGCCAGUGCCACCUAGUCGUCGCAGUGGCGCCACCGGCGGCUCUGUCGGAGCCGGCGGCAUGCUGUCGCCCACGCAGCAGCUGUACCAGCAGAGAUCUCAGCAGCAGCAGCAACAGCAGCAGCCACAGCAGCAUCAUGCCAUCUACGAUACGCGCACCGGACACGUGUCGACGGCGCUGCAGCUGCAGCAGGCGCAGCAGCAAUACUCGCUGGAUCACCUGGAGGCGCAGUUCCAGCAGCAGCAUCUCGACAUGGAGGAGCAGAUAGCGCGACUGCAGCAGCAGCGCGCCGUCGAGGAGAUCUACGGCGAGCGAGACCUCUACAUGGCCAAGCUGAUGCAGCGUGGCGCCUACCCGACCCAGCAACAGUUGCAGGCGGAGCGCCGCACGCCGGACGCCUACGGCCGUUCCAAGCAGCAGCGUCUGUUCGCAGCAGCUGCUGCCGCGGCGGACUACGAGGAUAUCUACAAUAUGUCGCAGCUGGCAGGAGCCGGCGGCGCACUGUCUGCACAGGAGGCACUGCUGCAGGAGGCGGCCAGCUACAGGCGGCCCCUCAGCCCGCCCAGCUACGAUGGCAGCAAGCAUGUGCCGGCCAUGCCUCAACGCUACACGCCCAACCACAUGGAGCCAACGGCCGCCGAUCAGCUAAUCAAUAACCUGGACUUGCGCGCCCGCACCGCUGCGGCCAUCGUGCGUCCGCACUCCGCCGACUUCUUGGAGUAUGAGGCGCGUGCCGAGGCGGCUGCAGCUGCCGCCGCCGCUGCUGUGGCGCAGAGCAAGCACGAGACAGGACGCGCGCCUCGACCCAAGUCGAGCUUGGACAUAAAUCGCACGCCCGACAGCUUCUACUACUCGGAGGCCAGCUACGCGGAGAAGAUGCGCAAGAGUGCGCUCUACUUGCAGAGCGGCGGCGGUGGUGCUGGCGGUGCUCAGCCACAGCAGGCGGGCAGCUAUCGCACCGCCAGCGGCGUCGCUGGCGAAUUCGGCAGCGGCCUGCACACCAUUGGCUACGAGAAUCCCUAUGAGCGGGCGUACAAGCGCCAGGAGCUGCUGGCCGAGGCGCAGGCACAGGGCAGCGCUGCAUGCAGCAUGCCACGCAUGAGUCGCUCGGCCAGUCAGGGUGCGGGCGGCGGUGCUGCAGCGCGUUCCGUGUCCUCGCACGCAAAGCAGCAGCAGCUGUCACAGGAUGAGGAGUUGCCGCCGCUUAACGUGCAUCCGGGCUCGAUAUUCCCACCCUCGAUGUCCACGCAAGAGAUCAUCAGCAAGAACGAGCAGUUCCUGCGCUCGGCCAGCGCCCGGCUGCCCAAGCGUAACGGCGGCCUGGACGACGACUAUUCCACGGCCAACAAUUCGCUGGCCACCUCGCCCACAGCGGGCGCAGCGCCAUCUCCGCAGAAUCCGCUGGAUGGCGAACGCAAGCGCGAGGAGUCCAUGAAGCGCCUGCUGGAGUGGAAGCAGCGCAUGCUGCAGUCGCCGCUAACACGCAAGGGCGUGCAGCAGGGCGGCAGCAAUAUGUCCGCCAUGUCCAAGCUGGGCAGCAAUCCGAACAUAUUGCUCGCCUCCACGGCGGUGGCUAGCGGUGCUCGCUAUGCACCGCUGGCGGGCAAAACGGGCCUGGCUGCCACGGCUGCUGGUGGCACGGCAACCACAAGCUCUGUCGGCGCAACGGCAGCCGGCGCCAGCUCCGCGGGCAUUCAGCGCUCCAGAUCGGAAACGCAUGCGAAUAUGGGACCAGGCGGUGUCUACAACAGUUACUCCUCGGACGAUGAGGCCUCGAUUUCGGUGCGCAACGUAAACAAUUUGCCCAAAGGCAAUCUAACUGUCAAGCCGGACCCAUCGGAUGCACUGCAGCUGCAGCAGCAGCCGCACGAAUCGGCAUUCGCCCACUAUGAUCCCUACUAUGGCAAUGCGACGGAGACCAAAUACGCCAAGGCCACAGUCCUGACAGAUCGCGGUCUGUACGGUCGUUCAGCAGCCAUGGCCACAUCGACGCCACAACAACAACAGCAACAGCAACAACUGCAGUUUGGCAUGCGUCGGGCUGGCAGUCGAGCUGAAAUUGAUAUGCUGGAGCGUGAGACGAGCUCACAGAUAAGGAAUCUGGAUGUUUCGGCUGGCGAUUUACUGAGUCGCACACACGAGGAGCUGGUGCUGCUGCUAAUUCAACUGCGACGGCAGAGCAGUCAAACGGCGCGAGCCAUCGAGCAGUGCUGCAGCGACAUUCACAAUGUGCAGAAUCGGCUGCGCGGCGCCGAGGGACUUACCCGUGCGGAGAGCAUACAGCGCUUGGACUACUUGAAGCAGCAUUUGCUGGACCUGGAGCGGCAGUAUGAGAAGAGUAAGCCGCUGGUCAAUCUGGUGGACAAUAUGGUCAAGCUGGGCUCGUUGUAUCGCAACGAUGCCAAUGGCCGUGCUCAGCCGGCGACCAUGGAUCGGCUGGAGUUCAAUCAGCGCAUGCAGGAGCGUCAGAUGCUGCAGGAGGAGCAGAAGCAAUGGGAUCGACUCAGUCCCAAUCAGACAGAGCUGCAGGCCAAGGUGCGAGAGCUCUAUCAGUUGGAUCAGCUGCUGCAGGAGGAGUCGGGCGUAUUGCAGAGCCUGCAGCGUGACAAGGAGGAUUUGGAGCGCGCCUUGGGCGGACUACGGGCACGCAUACACGACAACAAUGCCACGCCCAUGGCCCUGGAGGCGGCCAAGAAGCAGCAGCAUAUACUGGAGCGCGAGCUAUCGCGUGUGCAUCAACUGCUCGCCGAGAACUCUAAGAAACUGGAGCAGACUGUGGCGGGCAAUGCUCGCCUGGAGCAGGAGCUGCUCACAUUACGCCAGAAGGUGCAGUCGACGCGCAGCAACGGCGCCAACAGCGAUGCCAGUCAGCUGAAUGGCAACCAGACGGCAGCAGUGCUGCAGUCGGAGCUGGAGCGGGUGCAAUCUCUGGUGGGGGAUAUGCAGCGGCAGCGGCAUGAGCUGAGCUCGGCCGUGCGACAGUUGACGGAGAACUCGACGCGUUUGUAUCAGGAAAUCGGCAACAAGGAAUUGAGUCCGACGAACGGAACGGGCACCUCGAACGGCAGCCUGAAGAAGCGCAGCAAUUCGAGCAGCUGGACGGAAACCGAUUUGGAUGCCAACAUGCUGCACAAUGGCAGUCAGCAGCAUCUGAAUGACUCCACGCUGAAUCUGUCGACGCCGCUCUACGUGGACACCAAUAGCAGCGCCAAGUUGGGCGACUACAAUCGCUAUAAUGGCAGCAGCGAUGCUCUGGAGUUGAGCGGCGUUGAUAGCGAUGGUUUCCUGGACAGCAAUCCCUUUGCCAAUCUGAGCAAUCUGGAGAAGCAGGAGAUCAAAACGGUGCGCAUUGUCAAGCGGGAGUCGGAGCGGCGACAUCGCGACCGCAGCGAGCGUGGCCUGAGCAAUUCCACACAGAAUCUCGACCAGGUGCUGGAGGAGGAGCAAUACGCCCAGCAGCUGCAGCAGCAGCAGUAUGCUCAGAGCCUGGAGGAGCAGAUGAGCAAUGGCCAUCACAGCCGGUCCAAGUCUUUGCCACGCAGCUACAACGAGCCGCCAAAGCCCAGGCACAGUCGCCACAUGAAUGGCAAGCAGAACGGACACCACUUCAACGGCGGCGGCUCCGACUAUGAUCGCAAUAGCAACUACGAGCACGAGGCACCGCCGCCGCCAGCGCCCCAGAGCAAUGGCCACCACCACCAUCAUCAGCAGCAGCAGCAGCGCGAGCAUCUGAAUCCUUUGGCCAACGCAUACUUUGCCAAGCAACUGCAGCAGCAGACCCAUCCCAGUCGGGACAGCGCACGCGUGGCGCUGCGCACCAAGACCGAGUCGCUGCAGAGUCUCAACAAGAGCCUAACAGACAUUAGCCCAGAGCCGGUGUUCCAGAGUGUGGCCGCUCGCCAGAUCAUCAACGAAAUGUCCGCUGGCUCCGCCUCCGAGGAUACAGAGAAGAUUGUGGAGCGCGUGCCACCGCCACACAAACAUCGACGCGCUGUGCCGCGCGAGAAGCGACGACACUACACGGCGCCCAAUAAUGUCAACCAGAAGGCCAUGGAGAAGGUGCAGGCCGAGAACGAUAUGAAUCGCAAUAACACCAACUGGCGCGCACGUGAUGAUCUCGACAUGGAGGUGGCGUUGCGUCCACGCAUGAAUGCGCCCGAUGUGGUGCGCUCAGCUCUGGGACAGGGCGAGAAGAUCUCCGAGAAUACCAUAGACAAUUUGCUGCUGGCGCCCAAUAAGAUAGUCAUACCCGAGCGUUACAUACCAGAAACAACGCCCGAACUGUCGCCUGAGGAGAAGAAGCGUCGCCAGGAGAAGGUCGAGUCCAUUAAAAAGAUGCUCGCUGAAGCGCCCAUUAGCAGCAAUGAGAGCGAAACGCUGCCUGCCAGCAAGAUCAAUGCGGAGAAGAAGCAGCGCGAGCAUUUGCUGCAGCUUAAUCAAAUUUUGGCCCAGCAAGUCAUGCAAGUCAGCAAAAUUGUUGCCGGCAAUCCCACUAGUCACAACUAACUCCAUUUAAUAGCCUGUCGUGUUGUUUAUGUUUUUGUUUUACCAAUUGUAUACAUUUUUUUGUGUUAUUUGUUUGAGUUGAAAGAAAAUGACGAAAGAAAUGGGCCAAAUAUGUGAUGUAAUUCGACUUACAUAUGCAUAUGCUACACUUAUACUAUAUACAAUAAGAGCAACAGCAACAACAACAACCACAACAACUACAUUACAUAUAACCACAACCACAACAACAACAGCACAGCAAGAAUUCACGCGACGUUGAGAUUAUCGCAUGCUAAGCUCACUAAAAACAAAAAACAAAAAAAUCAGUUCAAAGCAAUCACAAAAUACUAAACGACAAAAACAACAACAACUAAGCCAUUGCAACAACAACAACAAGUACAAUCAGCAACAACAACAAGCACAACAGUUAAACAAAUGCGUAAGUCAAGAGAAAGCCAUGUCGAAGUCGGCCAAUGGACAAGGCGGCCAGCCAGGCAGCGAUGAGGAGCGCCGCUCGGAGUCGCCAAGUGAACC
rnacentral:misc_RNA from 1 species